GAGAAAGGUUCAGAAAUUUUAGUUGUGAAAGCUUACCUAUCUUGGAUGGGAUUUGAGAGUAAUUGAAGUCAUUGUCGGAAAGAUCAAGAACUCGAAGGUGCACAAGGCGAAAGAGACUGCUAUUUGCAUCCAUUGUACCGUAGAGUUGGCUGCUACUUAGAUCAAUAUGAAUCACAUGAUCAGUGUGCUCAUGACAUUUAAUGCCAUCCCAUGAGCAACAAUCUGUGCUGGAAUUCCAAGAUGCUGUUUUAGGAAAACCAAGAAGCUUAUCAGAGGCAAUCCUGUUGAUGACAAAGCCUUCCUUAAAUUGCAACAAGGCAUGGCUUUCAUAUUGAUGACACUUUGGCUGAAUUUGAGGAAAACAUGUAGUAAAUGUGAAACAGAAAAGUGAAUGCAGUAAAAGAAAUUUUAGUAACAAAACAAGAGACCUGACAAACACCAUUGUAUUUUAAUAUUUUGAACUGAAUGUUUUGGAUGAAAUGCUAGACACAUACUAAGUAAUUCUUAUAGUAAAUGAAAAUGUUUUCUAGUGAAUUUGAUUAUCAUUGACCGUGCAUUUUGGUUUAGGACUAACAUCAUAAUUCUAUAUCUUGGCUUAGCCUAUUGGAGAGGCUAACUUGAUCAACUCCAAAAAUACUUUGUCUCCUUUAUUUCCUUAAAUUCCAGGAAGGUAUUUGCAUCUUGGAUCUUAUCGUAGAUUCUACAAUUUUAUUUAAUCUUUAUUGUAUUUAUUUCAGACCAAUGCAUAUUAUACAAGACUUUGAUGUAACAUAAUAUAAUCUCUAAUCAAAUUAUGUGGCCAAUCCAAUACACAAGGUCUAUUGAUGUUUUACCAUGUAAUGAGGCUUUCUUAUCUUCCACAAAUUUCAUUUUCUGUCCAUUUAUGGUUUUUGCCUUCUAAUUUCAGUACAUUUGUCUCGAUUGUUUGACUCAGCAAUUUCCGCUAAGUUUCUUGCUACUUGCAUCUUUGGAAAACAAUUUAAUAUUUAGACUUAGUCAAUUGUUCCAGUGGAAUUUUAUUAUCUCAACAUUUUAUUAUUUGGUUGUAUGCAUAGAACUUUAAUCUAGAACUGAGUAUCCACUUAAGAGCUUGCACAAAAAUAUUGAAUAUAAUUUUAAAAAGUUAAGCAUGCAUAAUUGAAAAAAUAUAAUUUAUAUGUACAUUUUUAUUAAAAACUAGUUACAAAUCCGUGCUUCGCACGGAUUGAAUAAUGUAUCUUAUAAAAAAAAUUGUUCUAAAGGAAAAAUGAGCAAAUUAAGGAACUAUGCCACAAAUCUUCAUAAAUAAAGAUUGAGAUAAUUCAUUCCUUAAGUAGUCCUUCAAGGAUGCUUUCAAUAAUAUGUUCAUUUUAGUUCUUCAAAAACUAUAUCAUAGAUGUUCAUUACCAAUAAUUUUUGAAAAUUAUUCUUCAAGUAAUCCUUCAAGGAUGCCUCACUAUUGAAUUUUUCAAGAAUUCAUUGAGAAUAAAAGUUGGUCUUUUAAAUUUUUAGAAACCAACAGAUUUAAACAAAAUUUGAGACUUUUGAGUUCUUCUGAAACUCAGAGAGAAUAAACUCUAAACAAAAUUUGAGAAUUUUGAGUUCUUCUGAAAUUCAGUAAAAAAAAUUGUGUUUUUAAGCAACUCUUCAGGGAUGCGACACGUUUGAAUUCAUCAGGAAUUUAUUGGAAAACAAUUUGACUUUUUAAGCAAUCCUUCAGGGAUGCAACACCUUUGAAUUCAUGAGGAAUUCAUUCGAAAAUAAUUUAAGUUUUUAAGCAAUCCUUCAAAGAUGUGUUCCCUUUUGAAUAUAGUUCUUCGGCAACUAUAUUAUAGAUGUGAUCAAUCUUUUAUGCAAUCCUUCAGGGAUGCAUGAAUGUUUAAUUAAAAAUAAACAAACAGUAUAUAAUUUGCAUAAUAACGAUAAUAUGUAUCUAUAAGGCAUUGAUUCCAAAUUGAUGGAAUUGCAACAAUAACCUAUAAUCAUCGAAACAAAAUUACAACUUAUUAUAAUGGAUUAAGAAGAAUUAUUUACCUUCUUAGUUGAUUAGAGCGUGUUGAUAACGUGUUAUAAAACUAAGUAAAUAGAAACAAUAAUAGAGAGAAGGAGAGGAAGAGAGAAUAGAGAAAUAUAGGGAAAUAUAAUAGCUUAUGGACUAAGCCCAAUCAUCUAUUAGUAUAGCCUAUUAACUCAUUUGCUAUUUGGACAUCCACUAUUAAUAUUUAUAACAGUUUUUUAGUUUUUUUUUUAAAUGUUUAGAGAUAAAAUAAAAAAGUUAAUAUAUAUAUAUAUAUACACACACAUACAUAUAUAUAUAACGCAUUCGAAAACUGCCGUUUUGUGACUUCAAAUCGCAUUUAAAUAUUUGUCUUCAGUUUUUUUUUUUUUUUAAAUAAACAAAUUCGAACACGUUUACCUUUAAAUCCAUAAGAAACAGUAAACACAAUUUGAAGAUCCAUAUAAAGGUAAUAAGAUGUAUUUUAGUUUUUGUUCAAUUUUUAAAAAAAUAAAAAUAAAAAAUAAUUGUUUUACGUGUUUUUUUAACAAAAUCUAAAUUAUAAGACGACUCAACCAUCGAUUUUCUCUCAUAAUAUUUUGAGUCCAAAUGAGUUAAAACAAUUUUUUAAAUAACUUGAAUGGGAAGCAAGAAUUGGUAGAACAGUGGCCUUGUAGAGGUGUUGCAAGGAUACCUUAAUACUACUUCUACAUGUGCAACAGUAAUUGAGAGAGUUUUUGGAACUAAAAAAAAGAGGAAUGAUAUUUUGACAACCAAUUUUAAACAACUUUUUGUGAUAACUAUAAAUACAUGUUGCAAAUACUACCUUGAUACUACUUUCUAGUGUCAAAUACAUGUUGCAAGCCAAGGAUUGGAUGAAAUAUUUUUUUUCUGAAAAUGUUAAUGGUGUAAAUGACCAGUCUAAUACCAAAGAAAAUAAAAAAUUAUUAAAGAUUAAUCACAAAUACUACCACAAGAGUCUCAAACAGUGGCAUGUCCAAAUAACUCUACUCUAAGUCUCUAAUACAGAAAUCAAAGUUAUCAGCCCUUUAAAAGAGAUUUUUCAUUCCAAAUUAUAACCUUAAUUCGACUAAAAAGCAAGAAUCAUCAUUUGAAAAUAAAAACUAUCAUUUCUUGAGCAACAAGUCAACUAGAGUAAUGGCAUAAGACAUAGCAUAUUAAUGUUCACAGAUGCUAAUCUAGCUCGCAGCGGCACCUAGGGCUUGGGCGCAAUCUACCGUGACAGCAACAGAGAGGUGUUGGCAUCUGCUACCUGGAGAAUGCGAGAGUUUGAAGAUCCAACCAUGGCGGAAGCUAUGGUGCUCUAUAAAUCUGCGCAAAUGGGCUAUAGAUUGUAGUUUCGCUGAGUUGAAUUUGAAAGCGAUAAUGAAACGCUCAUCAAAAUGUUGAAUCGCAAGGAUUUGGGAACUAGAGCUUAUCUUGGGAAUAUUGUCAAAGGCAUCCACGAUAAAACUAGAAGUUAUUCCAUGCCCUGGCCACAUGGAUGGAAGUUAUUCCACCUAGCAUUGUUUCCUUCAUUGUAAAUGAUUAGAUCAAUUAAUCAAUCUCAAAUUAGUUAAAAAACAAAUUAACGAAAUUGAAGAGAAUGUAAUAGUUUUUGGACCAAAAUGAUGAAGAGAUCUAUUAUCACAUUAUGUCUAAUACUAACUUUUUGUCCAAUGCUAUGUGAAUCUAAAGAAAAAAGUAAUGAUUAUAUCACUGAAUCAGCUAAACAACAUAGGAAACUAUGUCACAGUACGAGUAUCUUUCUAACCGUAUAUAUCCUUAGGAAGUAAUACAUGACAAAAUUAUGUGAUGGUAGUGAUUUGAUAGUUUAUGCCAGUUAUUAGAGAAACCAAGUGGUAGAGUUUAAGUGGUAAAAAACGAAUACCAAUUCAUCGGGAGACAAGGUUGAAUCGAUCGGGAGAACUCAUUUUGAACCCUGGCUAGAACAAACCUUUGCCAGAGCUUAUUUAUUUGUUCCUAUUCCUUCCCAAUUGGCUUAAGCCCUUCACUUUGAGACUCUCUUGAUGCAGAUCAUAUUGAUGCACAUGAGGUAACUUUGUCUCUGACACUCAUUUUUAACACAAAUCUGAAUUAUAAGUAAUUCACAACCUUCGUUGCUUGUCUUUCAACAACAAAACAUCAUACAAAUCACAUUCAUACUAGAGGCAAUUACAUCAACAAAAGAAGAAAAUACAUAACUUGAUUAUGCAGGACUUGUCCAUGUGUUUGAGGAACAAAUUUUGAGCUCAGUAAGUAUAUGGUUUGCCGCUUUUAACCAUCAAUCGAAAAUAUUUUUGCUCCUUCAUGAAUACACUAUCAAGGUUAUUUAUUUCAGAAUAAUUUUUUCAUUAUUGGAAACUUCGGUUUAAGUUAUUAAGAGAAAGGUUGUAAAUUGAUAACGAAAGGCAUACAAAUUGAGGUAACAUAAAAUUGAUUUUUGAUGCAAAUUAUUUCAUUUUUGUUUUACUGGAGAUUUGAAAAACGUUUUUGGUACUGUGCACCAUCAUGGACAUGGUGGUGCAGGGUAGAAUCCUAUAUUAUACAUAUAAUGAAGAAAUUAAUGAAAUAUUGCAUAAUCUUUAUUGCUUUUGGAGUAAAAAGAACUAGCAGAAAACGAAGACUAUAUAUAAGAAUUCAAUUCAAUUCAAUUCAAUUCAAAGCACGCUCUAUCGAACAACCUUUAUUGCUUUUACAUACAAAGGAAACUCUUAAUAUGCAAUUACAAGAACAGAAGGAAACUAAAACAAAUAAGAACCAACUGAUAUGUUUAUUGCUUUGGAAACAUAAAAACAACUCACUAAUGUCUCUUAAAAAUCUUAUUAAGCAAAAUUAUAACUGAAACGCUAAGGCAAUCUCUAUACCAUGCAAAUACCUGCAGAAAGUAACUGUUUCCCAAUGCAACUCCAGCAACAAGUCCACCACCAUAUCCAAUCAGAACUACUGUCCAGUAUAACUCAAAGAAAGAAUCCGAGUCGUCAUCAUCAUCAACAUCGGAAGUAGAAGGCCCUGCAUGAUCUAUACACUUCUUCACCAACUGAUCCCCACACAAACCUUGGUUACCCUCAAAUGAAUCACCUUUGAACGUAGAAAACUGAUUAUUUUGUGGUAUUGGACCCGUGAGAUUGUUAAAGGACACAUUUAAGAAUUCCAAAAAGGUGAUUUGUGCCAACUGUUGGGGAAUUUUCCCUGAAAGACUGUUGACAGAAAGAUCUAACGCUUCAAGGUUAGAAAGCUUCCCUAAGGAAGAUGGUAUGCUUCCAAUAAGGUGGUUAUUUGACAAGUUGAGCAAAACAAGACCCUUCAACUCGCCUAUCACUUGUGGUAUCUCUCCGCUGAUUUUGUUGCUUGAAAUAUCAAUGGCUAUCAAGCUGUAAAAUUUUUGAAGCUUCACAUAAACCCUGGCCAGUCCUUUGUUUGACAUAGUGAAAGAAUAAAACUUUUUUUCUAACAUAUGAUAUUGUCGUGCAUACUUCGAUCUUAAGUAAGACUCGUACUGUAACUGACUUGCAUUGGAAGUAUUCAUUGCUUUCCAACUUUGGAUCAUUUCUGUUGGAAAACUGCCAGAGAAGUCAUUGUGAGAAAGGUCAAUGAUGUGAAGUUUGGAAAAUGUGCAUGUCAUGUUGCCAGAGCACCUAAUGUCUCCAUGGAAUUCAUUGUUACUUAAAGACAAUACCUUCAACUCCGGUAACUCUCCCAUCCAGAAUGGAAAUGAAUCAUUGAUGUUGUUAUAACUAACAUCAAAGAAUUCCAGCCUUCUAUUGUUGACCAAAGCCCUUGGCAACUGACCCUGCAGAUUGUUGUUGCUAAGAUCAAUCUGUUUAAGGGAAUUUCCUAUCAUGUAUGUUUGAGGAAUGAGGCCAGAUAAUUUAUUCCCUUUUAGAUCCAGACUUUCUAAAUAUUGGCUAAACUUCCCUAGACAUGAAGGAACAUUGCCGCUUAAGUUGUUGAAUGAUAAAUCAAGUUUCCUGAGUGAUUUGAGAUUGCAUAUGGAUGGGGAUAUUUCUCCUACCAAUGAAUUGUUGGAAACAUCUAAGAUUUGUAGACUUUCUUUUUUCCACAACCAUUUGGGUAGCGAAGUUAUAUUGUUGUUUGACAGUAAAAGAGUUUCCAUAUCACUAAGAUCACUUAUGAAUGUUGGAAUCUCAACAAAAUUGCAUGAAGCCAAUCGUAAAUCUUGAAUUAGAGAAUCAGUCAUACGAGAUGAACUUUUUCCACUAUACAAUGACAGUUUGUUAAAUGAUAAAUCAAGAAAGACUAGCUUUUUGAGGUUCAGAAACUUGUCUAACUCUAGCUUUCCAUGCAAAGAAUUAAAGGGUAGGUUCAAGACAACUAAAUUUGUUAGGUUCAUAAUCCAAGAUGGAAUUUCACCCUUUAUAUUGCUAUUUGCUGCACUUAAAAGUACUAGCUGAGUGAGAUUUGCAAAAGAUAAUGGAUGUUACUGUCAAUUUUGACUGAGGAUAUAUCCAAGGCAAUUAAUGACGAGAGCUUACCUACCCAUGAGAAGGUCUCAAUAGUAAAUUCAUUCAAAGCAACAUCCAAGACGCUUAGUUUUGUAAGAUUGGCCAAGGAUGCAGAAGGGUCGCCCCUAAAUUUGUUAUUUCUAAGGUCUAUCUGCAUGAGUUGUGUGAGGUUGCCAAGUGAAGAAGGAAUAUAUCCAAAAAAAUGGCAAUCUGGAAUUGUUAGAGUAUCUAAAGAAGUAAGCUUUCCAAUAGACACUGGCAGUGUACCAGAGAAACCUGUCUGAUCAAGUCCUAACUUGGUGAGUGAACUAGACUGAAACUCAGGUAAACUUCCUUUGAGAUUUGGAUUAGAUCUCAAAUCCAGAACUUCCAAGUUUGGAAGAUGAAAUACUCCAACAGGAAAUUCACCAUACAAUUCAGAAUUGUAUAGAGACAGUGCUUUCAAUGAAGUUAGAUUUGUGAGUGUAUCUGGUAAAUUAGAUGAAAUUGUUACAGAACUAAGAUAAAGGGUCUCAAGUUUUGUUGAGUUUUGAAUUAUGCUUUUGAGACUGGAUAAUUUGAGUUGCAGCAGAUUGUCUGUAGCUCUGAAGCCUAGAUCAAGAGACAACAACUUGGACAACUGUGAAACUUGUGGUGGAAUUUCUCCAGAAAAGAAGCUCAGGGAAAGUUUCAGAUGUUUUAAUUGUGAAAGCUCACCUAUCUUGGAUGGGAUUUGAGAGUAAUUGAAGUCAUUGUCAGAAAGAUCAAGAACUCGAAGGUGCACAAGGCGAAAGAGACUGCUAUUUGCAUCCAUUCUACCAUAGAGUUGGCUGCUACUAAGAUCAAUGUGAAUCACAUGGUCUGUGUGCUCAUGACAUUUAACGCAUCCCAUGAGCAACAAUCUGUGCUGGAAUUCCAAGAUGAUGUUUUAGGAUAACCAAGAAGAUCAUCAGAGGCUAAGUUAUUGAUGACAAAGCCUUCCUUAAAUUGCAACAAGGCAUGGCUUUCAUCACCAUGACACUUUGGAUGAAUUUGAGGAAAACAUGUAGUAAAUGCGAAAGAGAAGAGUGAAUAAAGAAAAAGAAAUUUUACUAACAAAACAAGAGACCUGACAAACACCAUUGUAUUUUAAUAUUUUGAACUGAAUAAAGUGAAUGUUUUGGAUGAAAUGCUAGACACAUACUAAGUGAUUCUUAUAGUAAAUGAAAAUGUUUUAUAGUGAAUUUGAUUAUCAUUGACCGUGCAUUUUGGUUUAGGACUAACAUCACAAGUCUAUUUGAUGUUUUAUCAUGUAGUGAGGCUUUCUUAUCUUCCACAAAUUUCAUUUUCUGUCCAUUUUUGGUUUUUCUUUUCUAAUUUCAGUACAUUUGUCUCUAUUGUUUGACUCAGCAAUUUCCUAUGACUUUCUUGCUUCUUGCAUUCUUGGAAAACAAUUUAAUUGACUUAGUCAAUUGUUCCUGUGCAAUUUUAUUUCAUACCGACAUAACAAUUUGUUUUCUCCCUUCAUAUACUCACCAUUUUAUUAUUUGGUUUUAUGCAUGAAAUUCAAUCUAGAACCAUGUAAGAGCAUGCACAAAUUUAUUGAAAAAUUAACUAUUUUAUAUGUACAAAUUUUUUUAUUGAAAAACGCAUUUUAGGGAAAAGAUACUUGGAAAAAUGAAUGAAAUUUGUACCGUCCUGAUGUUGAGAUUUCUUACUAUGAUUCGGGGAUCUGUUUGAUUGUUUGGAGAGAAGGUUUUGUUGGGAAGAAAAUAAACUAGAGAGAAAUAUUUCGUUUUCUUUGUUUGAGAGAUUGUUUGUAGAGAAUAAUAAAUUAAAUAUACUAACAUUAAUAUGUUUUAAAUUUUGAGACUUCUAUAAUAACAUAAAUUGAAUUUAAAUUUUUUAUCUAAAUUCUCUGAAACUUUCAUCCAACGCAAUUUUUUUAACUUUCUCAAAUUCGAAGGAUUUUGUAUUACUGAAGAAAAACAACAGCUCAAAGUUUUCUCUUUCCAAACCCCACCAUUCUCCCAAAUAGACUCUUGGUGAUGCAAAAAGAGUUAAUCAAGCAAGAGACUAUAGUAUGACAGUUUCUUUUCCCACCUACAAUAUCUGAUUCUUGUAACUCAAUAUCUCUUUGUAAAGAAACUCAUAUCAUUAUAGUGGAACGGAAAGCUGCUCUCUCCCCCAGACUAGGUCAUCAUUAGACCGAACUGGGUAAACAAAUUCUUGUGUUCUCCUUCCUCCUUAUCUCUUGCUAUUUUUGUUUGGAUUAUUUGCUACCCGCUUGUUUUGAUUACUUGGUAUUAAUUUGCUCCACGCAUCAAGUUUUUUAUUGGUGUGUUUCUCAACGAAUUCACAACAACCCUAUUUUGGGAUUCUAAAAUCGGAAAAAAUGGGAGGAUUUUAAACGUAUUUUAUGCUUUUGAAAGAUACAAUCCAAAAUACAGUUGGGCACGCGAGAGGCAAAUAAGGUGAGAUAAGAAAUUCACUUAUAGCAUAGUUCUCUAUUUGCCUUUUGACAAAAUGUGGCAAUCUUCCUAAGCUUUGCCCCCAAUCUUCUAAAUAAUAUAAGAAAGACAUUAAGAAAGUAAUGCCUGAACAAAUCUAUCAAAGUUUAUUUCAUAAGAAAAUUUAUUAUCACAAUUCACAACAUACAAAUUCAAUAUAAGUGUUUUUAAAUCUGAACAUAAUUUAAUCAAAUUUGACAAAAGAUCUCCCAUCUAUAUUACAGAAGAUUUUACUUAUUUGUAUCACAAUCUUCUCUAGUCUCUAAUGAUCGGCAACUUGGGUGUAGAAUGCAGACACAACAAUUAGUCCAAAUGAACAUACAAGCUAUAACAAUGAGUAAUCAGACUAAAAUAUAAAGACAACACUGUCAUGAAGUCUCGACUUUUGAUUCUGAGCCACACAUUCUGAAAUCCACAUAAGAUUUCUUAUCUCCUGCUCCCUUAACCUCAUAUAUGCGAAGAAAACAGCAUAGUGAAACUGCAAAUAUAGACAAAUUAGGAUGGCUUAGUGAAUGAAUAAAACAUACGUACACCAUACAAAAACAUUUAUAAUUAAGCCAGUCAAUAUCCUUCCAACUUAAUAUUAUGAUAUUCUGAACUGUUAAAAAAAUUAACCUGUUGCUCAAAUGCUAAGCAAUGCCUCUUGACUUCCUCCUCAUAGAAUGCCUUGUCAAGCAUCUGGCUCUCCCCAUACGAUAACUUCGCAAAGAUAGAUUGAUAAGGAGGGUAUUUUUCCAUAACAGCACGAACCUACGCGAGCAACUGAAAUUCUGGCUUCGUUAGCUUAAGAUGUUUCACACGAUGUUGCAACACUUAAUCAAACAGAUUCAGAUGUUUAACAAAAGAUUGAAACAUUAAACUAACAUCAAACAACAAAAGCAUAAACAAACAGAAAGGAAAGGAGACACAAUAAUUUGUUAACCCAGUUCGGUGCAACGUCACCUACUCUGGGGGCUACCAAGCCAUGAAGGAAAUCCACUAGUAGAUCGUAUUCAAAAAGCUCUCAGCAAACCACGUUUGCACUUGAUGACCUAGACUCUACCCGUAAUGAUUUCAGCCUAAGAACUCCUAGACUUGAGAUCCCAUCCCACUUCCUUAUCUCUCUAAUCACAGACCCUGUGAUUUACAAUUCAAUUAUCAAAGCACAAUAGAAGUUACCUUCCAACACAAUAACAACAUACACCUUUGUUUCACAACAUUGGUGCAGCCUUACAACUACCUAUCUCCUUGCUUAAAAGCUCUGGACUAGUGCACAAUUACAACUUAAGUGACAGUCCUUAACAUGUAUCAAAAGACACACGAAAGGCUCACAAAAAUGACUCAAAACCCUAGACACUCUAAUUUGCUUAGUGACGGCUUGAAUGGUCUUCAGGUCUUGCAGUCCUCUUCUCUUAUACUGAAGCGAUCUGAUCAUCAUGAAUCACGGGCUCCAGAAACAAUCGGGCGAUCAGUUACAAGUCAAAGGUCCAAAUAAGGAAACUUACCAUAACAGGCUUGGCAAAUUUAAUUGGACAUUAUGAUCACCUUAAAAGAUAUUCCUAAGAAGCUUGCACAAUCUCAGGAACUUAAAGUUGUUCUGAUCUUCUCCUUAAACACGCAGGUUUGACCAAUCAUAGAUUGGCGUGGACUUCCUUAAAUAGCGCAGGCGCGUGCGUAAAAGAAGGCGAGGCGCAGAACACACAGCCAGGCCUUGAUGUCAGAACAUUGUGUUCCACAUCCGAUAUGAAUAUUUGUUUUAGGCAAAAAGAAGCCAACAUACAAAUAUCCAACAAUCUCCCCCUUUGGCAAAUUUUUGGCUAAAACAACUUCAUGCCAAUCUAAUCAAACCGGAGAGAUAAGCACAUGCACAAUUUUCUUCAAUCAUCAAAAACACAAAUAAAACAUCCAUGAAGAAAAUACACAGCUCUUGGAAAACUAAGAGGUACCAUACAUAUAAAACUUCAAUCACAUCACAAUCUUCAAGACUUCAGAAUUAUAUUAUGAUCUCUGAAUCUACUCUCAUAAUUUUUCAAAAACAAAACACCAUAUGAAUCCAGUAGAUGAGAGAAUAAGAUACCAAAUAGAAAACCAGAGAAUUGCAGCAGCGGAUAUACAGGAAAAAUAAUUUCCUGAUAGAACAUGCAGAAUAUACUGAUGUUCAGACAUUCGUAAAAGCAUCCACACAUAAUGGAAAAAAUAAAUUUUCAUACACAGCAACUGCAGAACAUAAUCACUCCCCCUCAAUUAAAUAAUCAUUGAGUGAUUACUUAAAUAGCCUUACUCCCCCUGAACAUGUGCAUCCAAGGUUUGUAGCUUCUGCUGGCAUCUGUCCUUACAGCUGGAUAUUACAUAGGUAUGACCACUUUAUUACUCCCCCUUUUUAGCUAGAAAAUAUGCCAUACCCAGUAACCCAGUAGUGAACCACUUACUGCUCCUUAUGCAAGCAAACACCCAACUUGCUCCUUAGAUUCUCAAAUUGUUUGACAUCUAAAGCUUUGGUGAAAAUGUCAGCCAAUUGUUCUUCAGUGGCUACAUGCUCUAGAGUUACAACCUUAUCUUCAACCAGAUCCCUGAUGAAGUGAUGUCGGAUGUCAAUAUGCUUUGUUCUGCUGUGCUGAAUAGGAUUUUUGGAGAUGUUGAUUGCACUAAGAUUAUCACAGUACAAUGUUAGAACACUUUGUUAUACAUCAUAUUCUUCCAACAUUUGCUUCAUCCACACCAACUGAGAACAGCUACUUUCUGCAGCAAUAUAUUCAGCUUCUGCUGUUGAGAGAGACACAGAGUUUUGCUUCUUGCUAAACCAGGACACCAGAUUGUUUCCAAGAAAGAAACAUCCUCCUGAUGUGCUUUUUCUGUCAUCUGCACUACCUGCCCAAUCUGCAUCACAAUAACCAAUCAAUUGAGAGUUGUUACUAUGAGAAUACAGAACACCAUAGUCUGUGGUGCCAUUGACAUAUUUCAGAAUUCUUUUGACUUGAGCCAGAUGGCUCAUUUUGGGCUCUGCUUGAUAUCUUGCACAAACUCCCACAGCAAAAGUUAUAUCAGGUCUGCUUGCUGUAAGAUAAAGUAGACUUCCUAUCAUACUCCUGUAUAGACUUUGAUCAACAGCUACGCCAUUUUCAUCCUUUGACAGCUUUAGAUGAGUGGCUGUUGGAGUUCUUUUAUGACUGGCAUUAUCCAGUCCAAAUUUCCUCACAAUAUUCUUAGCAUACUUGCUUUGAGAGAUGAAAAUAGUGUCCUCCAUCUGUCUUAUCUGUAAGCCAAGAAAAUAGGUCAAUUCUCCUACCAGACUCAUUUCAAAUUCAGAUUGCAUUUGUUGAACAAAAUGUUGAACCAUUUGGUUCGACAUUCCUCCAAACACAAUAUCAUCAACAUAUAUUUGUGCUAUCAUGACUCCUCCAUGUUCCUUCUUAACAAACAAGGUCUUGUCUGUACCACCUUUCUUGUAUCCUUGAUUGAUCAGAAAUUCUGUGAGUCUCUCAUACCAAGCUCUGGGAGCUUGUUUUAAACCAUAUAAGGCCUUCUUGAGUUUGUAGACAUGAUCUGGAAAGUUUGGAUCAAUGAAACCUUUAGGUUGUUCAACAAACACUUCUUCAUGCAGAUAGCCAUUUAGGAAGGCACUUUUAACAUCCAUCUGAAAAAGCUUGAAUUUCAGAAUACAAGCUACCCCCAAAAGCAGUCUUAUGGAUUCCAACCUGGCAACAGGAGCAAAUGUUUCAUCAAAGUCUAGCCGUUCCACCUGUGUAUAACCUUGGGCCACCAGUCUUGCCUUGUUUCUUGUGAUGAUCCCAUUCUCAUCAGACUUGUUCUUAUAUAUCCAUUUUGUGCCAAUGACAUUUAUGUCAUUUGGCCUAGGCACCAAUUCCCAUACUUCACUCCUCUUGAACUGAUUGAGCUCUUCUUGCAUGGCUUCAAUCCAGAAUUCAUCAGUGAGAGCUUCUUUUACAUUCUUAGGUUAAAACUUGGAAACAAAACAGGAGUUGGAAACAACUUCAUUAGAUCUUCUUGUUCUGAUUCCUUGAUUUGGAUCUCCAAUAAUCAGAUCUUGAGGAUGAUUUUUCUGUACUCGGAUUGAGGGUCCCUUAUUUGCUUCAGCCUGAUCUACCUCAGCAACUACAGAAGUAGCUUCAGGUUCAACUUCAGUCUCUGGUACAACAUUUUCUUGAGUUGAUGUUUCAAGAUCAGCUUCAACAUCAGGAACAACUUCAGAGAUUUCUUCUUUGACACCAUCAUCAAUUACCACAUUAAUGGAUUCCAUGACCACUUAAGUUUUGUUGUUGAAAAUAUCCCAGAAAAAUUCCUUCAUCACUCUUAGGAUCCAUCUUUUUUCUGUAGUCUUUAUCAGCAAGAAUGUAGCACUUGCUUCCAAAAAUGUGGAAGUAUUUAACAGUAAGUUUUCUUUCCUUCCAUAGUUCAUACAGAGUAGUUGUAGUACCAGUUCUCAAAGUGACUCUGUUGUGAACAUGACAAGCUGUAUUCAUAGCUUCAGCCCAGAAAUGGUAGGGAAGAUGUUUAGCAUGAAGCAUGACCCUAGCAGAUUCUUGUAGAGUUCUGUUUUUCCUUUCCACCACACCAUUCUGUUGGGGUGUUAUAGGGGAUGAGAACUCAUGUCUGAUUCCUUCCUUUGCACAGAAUUCAUGGAAUCUGGAAUUCUCAAACUCAGUCCCAUGAUCACUUCUUAUCCUGACAAUGCCUCUAUUCUUCUCCCUUUGAAGUUGAAUGCAAAGUUCCUUGAAAGAUUCAAAAGUAUCUGACUUUUCUCUAAUGAAGUUCACCCAAGUGAAUCUUGAGAAGUCAUCAACAACCACCAGAACAUACCUCUUUCCACCAAUACUGGCCACUUGCAUUUGUCUCAUUAAAUCAAUAUGAAGAAGUUCAAGAGUCUUAGAGGUACCUUGAUGUUCCAACCUUGGAUGAGACACCCGUAUCUGUUUACCAAUCUGACAUUCUCCACAAAUACUUCUUUCAGUGAUGUCCAGCUUGGGUAACCCUCUGAUUGCAUCAUGAGAUAUGGCCUUCUUAACCCCUUGCAUAUUCACAUGUCCCAAUUUUUGGUGCCACAGUUUAACUUCUUCAUCUUUGCUUAUCAGACAAGAAGACAAAUGAGCCUUUUCUUGAGACAUCCACAAGUAGCAGUUGUCCUUUGAUCUAGUCCCCAUCAUGCUCAAUUUUCCCUUUCCAUCCAAGACCUGACAUUCAGUUUUACUGAAAUUUACACUUAGCCCUUGAUCACACAAUUGACUGAUGCUGAUCAAAUUUGCAGUUAGACCAUUUACCAACAAGACAUUACUCAGCCUAGGAGACCCUUCUCUAACUAAGUCUCCAAUCUCAACAAUUUUUCCUUUAGCACCAUCCCCAAAUGUAACACAGCUUUUUGCAUAAGUUCUAACAUUUUCCAGAAAGCUCUCAACUCCAGUCAUGUGACGGGAACAACCACUAUCAAAAUACACACUUAGGUAUCCAUUCUUUCUUCAAAGCAGACCUAGGUUGAUAUUGCUUAGGUAUACCAGGUAAAUCAAAACAGAAGGAUUUUUUAUGUCCUGGUCUGUUACAGAAAUCACAUCUCAAGGUGGAAGAUUCUUUCACUGACUCAGAGAUAGAAAGUUCUACUGAAUGUUCUAACAUCUUAUCUGGUACUGAUACUUUACUAGAGGAGGUUACAAACAUUAUUUUCUUCACAGGUUUUUUAUUUCUAUUCUUCUGAUAAUGUUCUAGGGCCUGGGAAUGACUAUUGCUAUGAUGUUCUUUCUUUAGGUGUUCAUGAGUGAAUCCUAUCCCAUUAGGUUUCCCUACAAUUUGACUAUUUAACAUCCUAUCUAGUACUUCAGUUCCAGUAGUCAUCAUCUUAACUUGUUUAAGAACAUGGUCAAGUUGGGACUUAAGAAGAAUUACCUCAUUGUUCAGUUCAGUAAUCUUGGACAGAUGCUUACUUCUUUCUUGUAAGAGUUGAUUAAUAGUUGCUUCAUGCCCUGAAGUGAAUUUGGCAGAAACAGCAUUAGUUCCUUCUUGAUCACAUUUUGGAAGAAUAACUUCUUCACAGAUAAGCUCUUCAUCAGCAGAAUCAUAAGAUGGCUCCACUCUUCCAGUCAUGGCAGUGACAUGUCUAGCCGCAUCACUAUCAACAUCUCCAUCUGUACCUUCAUCAUCAGAUCAAGCCACAAUCAUCCCAUUCUUUUGUUUCUUGAGAAAGGUUGCACAUUCAGUUCUGAUAUGCCCAUAACCUUCACAUUCAUGGCAUUGUACUCCUUUGUACUGACUAUUCUUUUCAUCACCUCUGUCAUAUUUUGGAUUCCCUUGUUGCCUGUCGGUGUUGAAUCUGAAGUUCCGCCCAUUUCCUCUGAAUUUGUUGUUGACUUGUUUCAUAACUCUGUUGAAUUGUCUACCAAGCAUGGCCAUAUCUUCUGUUAGCUUGUCUUCUUCUGCAUCUUCAUCCUUUCCAACAUCAUCAGCUGUGCUUGUUGUGAAAGCAAUGCCUUUUCCUUUCUUCUCAGUUCUGUUGUCAACAACAAGCUCAUAGUUCUGAAGAGAACCUAUGAGUUCUUCCACUUGCAUAUUGGAUACCUCCUGUGCUUCUUCAAUGGCUGUUACCUUCAUGUAAAAUCUCUUUGGAGAUCUGAGAAUCUUUCUUACCAAUUUCUCAUCUGACAGCUUUUCCCCAAGGGAAUCAAAUGAAUUUGCAAUGUCUAAAACAUUCAUGUAGUAGUCUUGAAUAGUCUCAUCCUCUUGCAUUUUCAGACUUUCAAAUUUGGUUGUUAAGAGCUGGAUUCUUGAGCUCUUUACCUUAGAAGUUCCUUCAUGAGUUGUCCUGAGGAUGUCCCAAGCAUCUUUGGCAACAUCACACUUUUUGAUGAGUCGGAACAUGUUCUUGUCUACCCCAUUAAAGAGAGCAUUUAACGCCUUCGAAUUUGCAAGAGCCAAUUCAUCUUCAGGAGCAGUCCAUUCCUCUUCUGGUUUCAGAUCCGUUGUUUUGUUGUCAUCCUUGUCAAGAACAACAGGAUGUUCCCAACCUCUCAACACGGCUUUCCAGGUCUUGCUGUCAACAGACUUUAGGUAAGCACUCAUGCGAGACUUCCAAUAGUCGUAGUUGGUUUCAUAUAACAGAGGUGGUCUGUUAACGAAUCCUCCUACUUUCUCCAUAUUGCCAGAAUAGAACUCCUCUAGAUCUCACCCAAUAACAGGCAGGGUGCCUGCUCUGAUGCCAAUUGAAAUUCUGGCUUCGUUAGCUUAAGAUGUUUCACACGAUGUUGCAACACUUAAUCAAACAGAUUCAGAUGUUUAACAAAAGAUUGAAACAUUAAACUAACAUCAAACAACAAAAGCAUAAACAAACAGAAAGGAAAGGAGACACAAUAAUUUGUUAACCCAGUUCGGUGCAACGUCACCUACUCUGGGGGCUACCAAGCCAUGAAGGAAAUCCACUAGUAGAUUGUAUUCAAAAAGCUCUCAACAAACCACGUUUGCACUUGAUGACCUAGACUCUACCCGUAAUGAUUUCAGCCUAAGAACUCCUAGACUUGAGAUCCCAUCCCACUUCCUUAUCUCUCUAAUCACAAACCAUGUGAUUUACAAUUCAAUUAUCAAAGCACAAUAGAAGUUACCUUCCAACACAAUAACAACAUACACCUUUGUUUCACAACAUUGGUGCAGCCUUACAACUACCUAUCUCCUUGCUUAAAAGCUCUGGAGUAGUGCACAAUUACAACUCAAGUGACAGUCCUUAACAUGUAUCAAAAGACACACGAAAGGCUCACAAAAAUGACUCAAAACCCUAGACACUCUAAUUUGCUUAGUGACGGCUUGAAUGGUCUUCAGGUCUUGCAGUCCUCUUCUCUUAUACUGAAGCGAUCUGAUCAUCAUGAAUCACGGGCUCCAGAAACAAUCGGGCGAUCAGUUACAAGUCAAAGGUCCAAAUAAGGAAACUUACCAUAACAGGCUUGGCAAAUUUAAUUGGACAUUAUGAUCACCUUAAAAGAUAUUCCUAAGAAGCUUGCACAAUCUCAGGAACUUAAAGUUGUUCUGAUCUUCUCCUUAAACACGCAGGUUUGACCAAUCAUAGAUUGGCGUGGACUUCCUUAAAUAGCGCAGGCGCGUGCGUAAAAGAAGGCGAGGCGCAGAACACACAGCCAGACCUUGAUGUCAGAACAUUGUGUUCCACAUCCGAUAUGAAUAUUUGUUUUAGGCAAAAAGAAGCCAACAUACAAAUAUCCAACAGCAACCAUGUAAAAGAAUUAAGGCUAAAAAAGCAAUACUAAAAGAAAUCAACUAGAAAUCAGUGGAUGUUAUAGACAACAAUGAUGAAUCUCAAAUAUUUCAGGGCGAUACCAACAAGAAAUUGGUAGCCAAAAGCAACUCAAAUUGCAAAUGAAGUAACAAUGAAAGUGCACAAAAAUAUGAAAUGAAAGUUUCAAAGAGAUCCCUCAAACAAGAAUCAUCUACAAGUAGGGCAGUCUCCUGGCGGUACAGGUUUAAGGUCAUGCAACGGCAAUUAAACCAGGGAUAAGAGGAAUAAUAUAGUUGCAGCACAUUACAAUGACUUAGGUACUAAUAAAAAAAAUCGAUAAAUAAUCUACUGCCCUAAGAAACACAAUCUAGAAGGGUCCAAGAAGCAUACAAAUUGAAAGAGGGAAAACACUGUACAUCAGCAAUGCAACAACCAAACGUUUAACACAAUUGAGAUGCAAAUCAUACCUGAUCAAUGUCCUCACAGACAGCAAGCUCCUCAUGACCAUAUGGAUAGCUGUUAAAAAUAAGUUGGUGAUUAGUAAAAUAAGCAUUACAAAUUAGUAUAUUGAUUUGCUUUUUCUUAUUUUUAAAAAUAUUUAUCUGAAGGAUUAGAGCUUACAACAAACCGAAGUUAGAGUACAACUUCCUACGGUCAUCUCUGGUAAGCUCAGUUCCAAUGCUGCACAACGUGGAAACCAUGGAUGCUAGUUAUGCAGAUAUCCAGAUAAACAAAAAGAUUGUACAAAACCUUCUUAGUGAUUUACCUGUUUAUGGUAAUAUUCACAGCCCUUCUAUCGGCCUCAAAAGCCAGAAGGUCAGACAUUAUCUCGGCAGUAGCACCACCAAGUUUCUGUUUGGGAAUAACAUUGAAAUUGAUGACUGUCAGGAGGAAAUCACAAGGGAAUACAAAUAACUAGCUGACAAAAAAGAGACUUGGAAAUCAAAAAGAGGCUUCACCUGACAAAAUCUGUAAAAAUCUUCAAGGUAUGCCUUGUAAAGAGUGUUCCUCAUUAUUUCAAUGUUCAUGUCAUCCAAGUCCUGAAAAUUAACCAAAACCAUGAGCACAUAAAUCAAAGAAAUAAACAUAUGAAGCUAUGCCAACGAAAUUAAUGCCUAUAAUAUCAAAGUUUUGGUACUAUUGUACUAUUGCAUGUGCAUAAUCCAAAUUAAUGCCUAUAAUAUCAAAGUAGGAAAAUUGUCUUCUGGAUGGCAACCAAGAGCUAUUUGCCUUCCAAUUUUUUUUAUAGUUUUACAUUACAUUUUUUUUCAGUCUAUUUGGUGAAAAUUAGGGGUAGAUAUAGAUAAUUUCAGGUUUAUGCAAUAAAACUAUACUACAGCAUUCAACACGCAGACUGAUUGAAGUUGAACCAAAGAAAAGGGAAACGAUAAUUCUGGAGAUGAUUUACCUCUGAUGUAAUGCACUCAGAGAAGUAUGGAGCCAGAGGAGUGUCAACAAGAACCAGCCUGUAAAGCUCCCUCAUAUUCUGAGCUACAGCCAAAGUGGCAAUACUGAGGAGAAUGCCACGGGGAGAAACAAAAGAUGAAAUCAAUAUUCUAUGUACCAACAACAAUAUGCUGCAAAAUGCAUAGAAGACGUCAAAAAAAAAAAGGCAUAGAAAUCAGGGUACCUGUCAAACAUGCCCAGUGGAUGGCAUUUUUCUAGAAGUUCUUGGACAUCUCUCUCAUGCAAGGUGCCAGUAACAAUCAAAACAACAUUGUCUAUCAUGUGACCAUAUCUGCAGAGUAAAAAAGAAAAUAUAUUCAUUUCAGCUUUACUUACAGACACGGGUACUGGAAACCACAUUGAUAUUGAGUAUUGGCACAUCAACACCGGUAAUUAACGACUAGUGACGGACACCAGACACGGUUUCAAUCUGAAGUGACAGUGCUGUAUAAACUUGUGUGUGCUCAGUAAAUACAAUAACAGAGCAAACAGAAAAUGAAAAGUUCACAUACGUGAUAUACUCUAAGAAGGUUGACAAGGGUUCUGUAGCUUGGCAUAGCAUGUGCUUGUAAUCAUCAACCAGCUUAAGAGUACAUUUCUCCACAAUUGUUGUUGUAUGCAACGGAGAAGGUUCUGCAAUAAUUAAGUCGUCAUCCAUCAGUAGAAAUCCAUAAUUUUAAGUACUACAAGUUAUCAUUAAGUAUACACCCUUGAAUUAAUAAGAAUACUAAUAAGCUGAAAAUUGAAACAAUAAUUUAUGAAAAUCUUCUAAAUCUUAAUUCAACAAAGAAUAUUGAACAAAACUUGCAGUAAUAACAGUUAACUUUUACACAAAUAUAAUAACAAAAACAAAUGAUAUCUUACUGAAGUCUACAAUAAUAGGGUAAUAUAAUCAUAGACUCAAUCAAUCAUUAAUCCAAGGUAGAACAUAUAUCCAAAACAACCGUCAUUAAAUUUUCAUGACUAGGAAGCAUGAUUAUCAAAUCGAGAUUAAAUUUGUGAAUUGCAAGAUCUAUUUUUUAAAAUCGUGAAUUGAAUCAUAUUAUGACUUGUAAAUACAUAACCAAUAAUUUUUAUUCUAAGUAAAAACAUGUAAGUAACUAGUGACGGAUCCAGAAAUUUCGUUUUGAGGGGGCAAAACUUUUUAUAUUAGAAAUAUUAAUAUAAAAUUUUUAGCAAUGUAAAAUUGAUAAAAUAAUAAUGAUUAUUUAACCCUGACACUUCUGAUCAAAGGCAUGUCGCGUGUAUAAAACGUGUGUCAGUAUCUGACACCACCGACACAAGUGAUUCUAUAAAAAUGUGAGUUGUGUUGUUUUCUAAAGAAUUUAUGGCUGUCCACAUGUUAGGUGUCCAUGCUUCAUAGAUCACAAUUUUGCAUAUAAUCAUAAAUAACAGAAACAUUUCUGAUCAACUAAGGAUUUAAUUUCGUUACAAUUUUUCAACAGCAAACAAUAAAUUUCAUCAAAAACAUCUCAAAAUUUCGAUAAAUUUUCCUUCAUUUCAGUUAUUGGCAUUUCAAAUCUACAAACAAUUGAAAUAAAUAUCGUGAUUUCGUAUGAUCAUUAAAAAAAUAAAACAUUUUUGAUUAACUAAGCACUUAAUUUUUAUUGAACAUCCAAAUAUUAUGAAAAAUUUCUCAAAACUUCUAGAAAUAAUUCUUCAGUUCAGUCAUUAGCUUUACUGUUUGAAUUAUUGACUUAGCAUACCAAAAAAUUUAUUGAGACACCAUGGUAUCUUAUAAUUUUCUUUCACAACUCUUACAUUUAUACACCCAUAAAUUUCAUAAACUUAUAUAAUACUAUCUUCGUCCUUAAUUAUAGGACCCUUUUAGAAAAAUAACUGGAACUAAGAACAUUGAAAGUCGUAAUAAAUUUGUCUGUAAUUAGUAUUGCUUUUACAUUUAUAUAUCCUUUAAGAAAGAGGAUUAGUGUAUGUUUUCAACAUAGUAUUUACUGAUGAAUGAAGAAAAAAAAUAUAAAAUAAAUAAGGGUGUGUUGGUAAAAAAUUAAUUAAUGUACUUGAAAAUACUAAAGAUGUCUUGUAAAAAGAGACAACGCUUUCUCUCAAAAGAGUCCUAUAAUUAGGGACAGAGGUACUAUCUCAUUUUCUCUUUAUCUCUCUUCCUAUCACAUUAACAAUAUAUCACAUUUAUCACAUUACUCUCUAUUAUCUCUUUCUCUUGUAAGGUGUUAAAUGAUUUUGGGUGUUUAUCAAAACAUUUAUCCUUUUGUUACUUAAGGUGUAUAUGAUAUCCAACAUUAAGUUAUUUAAUGUCCAUUUUUUUAUAUUUAAUAAAUUUGACGUUUUUUUUUCUCUCAAAAAAAAAAUUUGACGUGUUUUCCUCAAAAAAAAAAAUGACGUUUAGAAUAUUGGUACUUGGUAGCAACAAAAUUAAGGUUACAAAAAAUUUACUUAAAAUUAAAUAAAAUGCAAUAAUUAAAAGUUUAAUUAAACACGGAUACAAUAAACAACUUUGAAUGAUUCCAAAAUUUAUUGCUUUUUAUUCCAAAAUAACAAUUAAGGGUGUGUUUGAAUAGAGGGGAAGGGAGAGAAAGACUUACUUUUCUUUUUUAAAUUACGGAUAUUAUAAAAUAAUUUUUAAAAAAAUGAAUUAACAACAUGAUAAAUAAUUGAUCAUAUAAUACUUCAAAAACAUUAAAUUUAUUUUAAAAAAAUAAAAGUAAGUCUUCCCAUCAUUUUCUUUCCAAAACCCUCAAUUCAAACACACCGUAACGAGGUUUUGUCAUCAUCAUCGUCUUAAUAAUCAUCAUGAUGAAAAGAAAAUUGCAAGACCUAAUAAACGUGUGUGACCCUAAAAUACUCUAACAUGUUUGUACAAUUUUAAUCUAAUUCAAACACGUUGAAGAAGGUGAAAAGAGGAAAAUUUGCUCGUGUUUGCAUGAUUUUUAUAAACCUCUACAACUCUUUACUUUGUUGGACAAUUGUGAAAAUAUCGCUGGAAAAAAUUCCAACCCUAACAGCACUCUCAACACGUUCAUAAUAAAUUAUCUCUUAUGGUGUGUUUGGUUGUAAGAAGAAAGUGUAAAGAGAGAAAUUGGUGAGAGAAAGUAUAGGAAGAGAGAAAUAGAGUAGAUUUGAUGAGUUGUUUGAUAUAAGAGAAAGAAGAGAGAAAUAGAAGAGAAAAAAGUGUGAUUAUUUUUUAAAAGACAAAAGUACACUGGAACAUAAAAAUUAAUACAAUUGUGUAUUGUUUAAAUUCUAUUUUUAUCAAAAACUAUUAUUGUUUAUUAGUACAAUUUAAAAAAGGAAUAAUUCAUGCAAUUACACUAUUUUUCAAUUUAAUUAAUACAUUUAUCUAGUAAUGUAUUUUAGAUUCUAUUAGUAUCUUUUAAUAUAUGUUAGAUUUUAUACAAAAUAGCACCGGUGGGAUUUCUUUAAAUUGAAGUUACAUGCACAUAUAAAUAAAUAAUAAAUAAUAUAGAAAAAAACUCAAUACAUAAAGUUACAAAUGGAUGCCCAAGUCCAUUGCAAUCGUAUUAAAAAAGGGGUGUUUAUCAAGGGUAUAAACGUAAUAACAAAAAAACAAGCUUCCCUUUUCUAUUUCUUUGCUGAUGAGGAGAGAUUUGUAAAAGGUGUGGGACCCAUUAAUCUUGAGUCUCUCUUUUCUAUUUUUCUGCCGGCAAAUUCUAUGGUACACUCAAAAAUUUGAGUAUAUCGAUACACCAAUUUGUUAAAAUAAUAAUUAAAUGAGUUGAUUUUUGAAGAAAGGUAAUUAUUUUCUGUAAUUGACAUUUAUCAAAAUUAAAUAUUAUUUACCAAAAGCGUCGACAAAAUAAAAUAUAAUUUUUCUGAAUUUUUAUUACUUAUAAUAAAGAAUAUUGAUUAUUUUUUAUAAAAAAUUUUAAAAAUUUAAUAUUUUUAUAAACAAUGGAAUGAUGUUUCUUAUUAUGAGAUGAUGUUUUCUAAAAUAUAAACAUUCAUAAAUAGCUUUUUAUUUUAUAAAAGAAUCAUUAAUUUAUCAAUUUAUAAAGCAAGAGUACCGGUACACCUCAUUUUAUUAGGUGUACCGUAGAAGUUCCUUUUUCCGCCAACCAAACAAGAGAAGUUUUCUAUUAACUAUACAACGACUUUCUCUCAUUAAUAACCAACAACUCUUACGAUUAAAAAAAAAAUAUGGAUAAAUGUUGUUCAUACCAUUUCAAAUUCACUGGAUUUUUGCUCUUUUCAAUUCCUUUUUAUUUAUUUUCUAUUAUUUAUUUUCUAAACGCACAUAUUAAAAAGUAUACAUUAGUGAACAUAUUUAAGACAUUUUUAUUUUAUUUUAUUACCAUUUGAAUUAUUGAGUUCUUAGAGAAAAUCUAUUAUAGUUGCAACCCCAAAAUCAAAGAGAUUUUGACACACUCACAUAAACUAAAAUUAAAUCAAAACUAAUUUAGUAACAUCAAUUAAUAUCAUUGAAUUUCAUUCUCUUUUAAUUUUUUUCAUUUUAUGUGAGUGUGUUCAAAUCUUUUUGAUUUGGUGUUGUGACCAUAGAAGACUUUCUCGAGUUCUUAAUAGGUAAUUUUAUUUAAAAAAAUUAAAUAAAUGAUGUGUACAUGUGAGAUCUUUUAAUGACUCUUUUUAGGCUAAUACUUGAUGGUGUAUGGUGAUGACAUGUUGUCAUUACAAGUUUUUAUUAGUUAUUUUGAUGUUUUUAUUGAAUUUAUAUCAUUAUUAGACAGCCUGGAGGUGCAAAAAGCAAGAAAUUACAAAAAGUUGGAGUUUGCCAGAGCCUAUAAAAUCGGGACACAGUUGCAAAAAAUGUGACAUGAUUGCAAAAUCGUGACAUGAUUUUGACAGCGUCUAGAAGGAUCUAUUAGAGAUAUGAAGGCAAUCGUAACAGGAUUUCUCCAAUCAUGACACGAUUUUGGGCGCUGAUGCCUUGCCUAUUUAAGCCGAAACUUGUUACGAAAACAAGGGUUCUAAAUUUUGGCGAUCUGAAGCACGAUUUUGAGAGUAUAAGACUGAAGAGGUGGCCAUUCCACCAAACUCAUAGUCGAUCCUUGUAUAUUUUAAUGCUUCAUUUGAUUGUGUUAUUUGUAAUUUUCAUUAUGUAUAGCUAAAUCAUUAGAGAUUACGUCUGGAGAUGAUCUUGAUGUAGGCUUGUUUGAAAUAUGUGGUUGUGAAACUCUAUGUAUAAGAUUAUUAAUCUAGUCUUAUUCAAUUCAAUUGUUCUUAAUUUUUUUUAUAUACUGAUCAUAUAUAACAUGAAUUUGUGAGUAUGAAUGCCUACCGACAAUAACUUUCAACUUAAAUCUAAUUGGAUUGUUCAAAUAAACAGGGGUAGUCUAGGAAUAGAUGAUCGUUUAAUUGUGAUACUAGGUUAACGGUUUGAAAACCUUUGAGGAAUAUUAGAUCACCUAAUGAAUUAGAGAUUGUAAUCCAAGAAGAGGACUCCGACUCAAGGGAUUGCUCAGAGUUACUUUUGUUAAUCAUCGUAAAACUAAAGAAAUAUUCAUAUAAAAUAGAUGCAGUUUACCAAACAGUCGAAAUCAAAGGAUUCGAAAGAACUAAUUCAUCUAUCUCCUAUAUUUUCAUAACAGUUUUUACCAGCUUUCAAACUAUUUAUGCAAUCAAACCAACUGCCUAGGGCAACCCUAAAUUUUACACAUUCGAAUUAUUAACUGUAUUGCUAAAUUAAGAUUAAUACAGUCCUCAUGGAUACAAACUUUGAAUUAUUACUUUGAUAAUUUUGGUACACUUGUUAAAUAUCUAUUAUAUAGAUUGAUAAGUGCACCAAAUCGUACUCAAGUAAUAAAGUAGUAACUCGUUCAACCAAGUAGUUAGAUAAAUUUAUUUGAAGUAAAAGAAUUAAGAAACCGAAUUGUCUAGAAUAUUUAGAUGGGUGUUAAAGAUAAAGUAUUAAAUACAUUAAAAUUACAAUAGAAAUUCUUGCUUGAAUACAUUGGCUAAUUAGUCUUAUACAUCUAAUAAGUAUACUAGCUCAAACGUACAAGAUACAUAAUAUCGUAUGAGACAAUCAUGUACAUUACUAUCGAGUACAAGCAUGAUACCUCCCUUGGGUUCCUGUCAUUAGUAAUCCUUCUUGUGAGUGGUUACUAGCUCUAAAUCUAGCAUCCAAAGCCCAGCAUAUACUCCUCUUGCUAAUUCUCUGCUCAAAAAACACUCUCAGACCUCUCAAGCACUCAACCAUUACACUUCCCUUGGGAGCCUAUCAUUAGUAAUCCUUGUUGUGAUUGGUUUUUUCCAUGAUUGUUUUCUUAUUAAUCAUGUUGUUGGAGAUCUAACCAAUGAAUGCGUUUUGGCACUCGUUCAAAACUUUUUCGCAAAAACCUAGUUAUUCACAAAAUAAAUUCUGCUGAUUAUCUUAUCGAAACAUCAACAAUCCCUUGCAACGACGCCAAAACCUUAACGGUGUAUAAGUUGGCAAAUGUGUCAAAUCGUACAUUAGUAAUUUUUUUUGAUCAAAGUAAGAAAAAUUAAAUUGCAAAAUAGGAGGAGGCCUGAACCUUAUUAGUAUAUCAGAAAGACCCAAUAAAGGAUGCCAAGGCUAUCCCUAGCUAUGCCAACAAGAAACAAAGAAAUGCAGGCCAACUAUGACAUUGUCAGCUAACCAAAUCUAUAUUGCAUACCUUCAUUGUUUUUUCCUUUAUUAUCUUGUUGUCUAAUCUUUUUCUUCUUCCUUUUAGAGACAUGGAGUAUACAGAUCAUCUAGGUCAUGUGACCCCUCUAAAGACUGCUCAUCAGAAUCAGAGGCUAAAUCACUCCAAUUUUCUUUUAGAAUUUCCACACUUUUUAUAGCUGCUGCAAUGCUAGAAAGAAUUGGCUGAGUUUCAGGAACUAUCAACUGGGUAUUUCUGCCAUCACUGCUGUUUAUACUUUUGGUUAAAUGCUUUUUAUACUUAUUUUUAUGAAUAGGUGCCAUUUCAAAUAUGUGUCUAUUCAUUGGUAAAACUUUUUGAAAAAUGGUAUUGCUUCAUAAACAUCUUUUUUGCCUCUAUAAAUUUAAUUGAAAAUCAAAGCAAUUUAAAAAAACAACAACUUUCAAACUCUCAAUGUGAAUUUCAAUAUCACUUGCAUUCAAACUUUCUUUUAAUUGUUUGGAAAAUUUGGCCCACACUUAUUUAUUAAAAAGCUUUCUGAGCACUAAGUCCAUAUUGUUGAAGCGAUAUUGAUCAAGAUAAACAACCAUACAAUUUUAUUCUUCAAUUCAUUUGUAACAUUCUCAUCAAUUGUUGGUGGGAAUUAUUGUUAAAGAUAGUGGGGUGAUAUCUUGUGAUUGUUAUAAAAUGUUCUUUGAUUCAGGAAGAUUCAUAGUCCACCAAAAGUGUUUUGUGUUUGUGUUUGUAAUCAAGAGAGAUGGUUUAUUUCUUGUGUUUAUGUUAGAAAGAUUGUUAGGUGCUCUUUGGGUGAGAUUGCUUGUAACAAAGAUUCUAACAUAGUGAAUUCCUUCGUGGGGUGUGAAGGGAGUGGAGUACCUACAAGGGAACCAUUAUAAUUCUAUUGUGUCUUUUCUUCUUCCCUUACUCUUUUAUUUUUCCACAUUCAUAAUUCAUAUUAAGUUUUCGAAAAAAAUAAUCUAGAAAGCUAAACUUGCAAAAAAUUACCAAUAAUCCUAUAAAGCUAAUUCACCCCCCUUUUAGGUUAUAAUCUGAACUUACAUGUUUAACGUAAUUACAAAACAAUAGAAAAACGUACCCUAUAGAGAACAUGAGGAAGAUAAAGAUCAUUUGCCUUGAAAUUUUGAUGGUUGACCAUUGCCUUGUACCGGUUGCGUUUUGAAUGAAUAAAAGAGUGUGUGAUCUCUAUUUAUAGUACAUCAUUAUUUAUGGGUUAAGAGAAGAGAACUGAGAUUUUUCCAUUAAAACAACUUUAAAAACAAGCAAUUAGUAUUCCCGGCCCAGGGCGCAUGAACUUAUAAUAACAUAAAUUGAAUUUGAAAAAGUUAUUUAAAGGAUUUUGUAUUAAUUAAGAAAAAUGAAUGCUCAAAUUUCUCUCCUUCCAAAGCCCACCAUUCUCUCCACUUCAUCCUUCUCUUCUUCUCCCAAACAAACCCUUGGGGAUGCAACCACUAAUCAAGUAAGAAACUAUAACACAGGGUCGAUAUUAUGAUUCUUAUAUAUUUCAGGGCCGAUACCAGCAAGAAGUUGGUAGCCAAAAGCUACUAAAAAUCACUACUAGAAAAAGAAAAAUCAGCGAGGGAAAUUAGUGACGGAAAAAAUGAAAUUCCUCAAAAAAAAUUUGAUCGAAAAAUUUAGUGACGGAAUUAGAGAGAGAUUUGACGUUUUCCCUCACUAAUUUUUGAUUUUUUAGUAGUGAAUAGAAAUGAAGUAACAUCCUCACUCAUGAAAUAAAAGUUUCAAAGAGAUCUAUAAAACAAGAAUCAACUACAAGUAGGAGAGUCAUGGGUUGGUGUGAAUAAGAUAAAAAGGAGGUGCAACCACAAAGAGGGGACAAUGGAUUAUUGCAGGAGAAUUGGACUUUGGCAUAGAAAACUAUUUGUUGACCCGUAAGAAAGAAUAAAGAGCAGCACAUAAAAGGGAGAAAGUUGCUUUCCUGACAUCAAAUAUUUCCUAAUAACACAUGGAAGUUACGCAUUUAUUUCUAGCGGUAGUUAAUUACCGUUGGUAAAUUCGGCAGCAUUUAACUAUCGUUGGCUCCUAGCUGCAGUUAACUACCGCUGACUCAUCAAUUGUGAUUUUAAGCGUUUCAAUUGAAAUUUUUUUAAGGUUUAAAUGCAAUUUUACCCCCCUAUUUUGAUUGAAUCUGAAUUUUACCCCCCUUAUUUUAAACUUCAAAAUUUUACCCCCUCUAUUUUUAUUGAUUCUGGAUUUUGCCUCCCCUAUUUUAAAACUCGGAAUUUUACCCCCCUAUUUUAUGUUUUUCAGGAUUUUGCUCCCUCCCCCUAUUUUAUCCACAUAAUUAUUUUUUUGUAUUAAAUGUUUUUUAAUGAAAAAAUAAAACCAAAAAAAUACUAAAAAAAAUGAAUAAAAAAUACUAGAAAAAAAAAGCAUAAAACUAGUAUGAUCUCUAAAAAUAAAAUAAAAAACUAGUAUGAAAAUAGCAAAUAUUUAGAGGUGCAAAUUAGUUUUUUCAUGUAUUCUUAAUUGAAUUUUUUCUUGUAAUUUCAUUGUUUUUCUAGUUUUUAGUUUUUUUUUUUGUGUUUUCUUGUUUUCCUUAUAUUUUUUUACCAAAUUAUUAUUUUCUAAUCGUUUCUUUAUUUUUCUAAUAUUUUUUGGUUCUUUAUUUUAAAAUAGGGGGUAAAAUUAUGAAAAACGUAAAAUAGAGGGGGUAAAAUUCCGAGUUUUAAAAUAAGGGGGGCAAAAUCCCGAUUCAAUCAAAAUAGAAGGGGUAAAAUUCAGAGUUUUAAAAUAGGGAGGUAAAAUUCAGAUUCAAUCAAAAUGGGGGGGGGGGGGGGGGGUAAAAUUGCAUUAUUUAAGCCUUUUUUUUUUUUAAAUUGAGUUAUUCGGAAUGCUAUGGAACCUUGCACAACUCAUAUGAAACGCGUACAACAUAUGUCGGAAAUCUCAUACCGAUGUCCUAAAAUAGUUUUUAUUUUUUAUUUUUGCUUCAACACUUCUUGCAUAGGAGCCUGACACUCUCACGACACGUGUCCAACAAAUUAAGACAAGUCUCCCAAAUUAUUAUUAUUAUUAUUAUUAUUUUGCAUCAACACACAUUAUACUCUUCUUGGACGAACCGCAAACACAUUUCUUUGGUGUUAUGUUUAGGAAGUAAUACAUGACAAAAGUCAGAACAGAACCAUUUCUUUGAAGUUCUUUGCUAAUGCUCACAACCAAGAUCAUCAUCCCUUCAUUUCUUUUGUCUGUUGAAAGAAAAUUGAAUAUAUAGGGCAGCUGAGAUAAAUCGAGUGUUGGGUUUACGUGCUCCUGAGGUUAUUAAUGUUCAAAGAAGAAGAACACUACAUGAAUUGCCAAACUUUGACGGCUGGGACGAUCUUGUGGCUGGGUUGCGCAUCUGAAAUGCCACUCAAGAAGUUAUUCACACACUCCUAUAUAUCAAUCUUGUAUGAAAAUGAAGUGAUUAGUGCUGGUGAGUUAAUUGCUUCAAACUUUAAGGAAAUCGUGGAUUCCAAACAUACUACACUAGGACAUAACUGUCUGAUAAAUCUGCUUUGUGAACAAGAGAAGGUUCAUGUAGAAGCAAAUGAUAUUUUUGUGAAUUCAAAGGAGCCUAUUAAAUGACAAAGCAAUGUUAGUUUAUGAAAUGUAUAUGCAAGGAAGGAGGCAUCAAGGACGAAAUCAAUGGGCACAUGAGGAGAAACCUCAGAUGAUGGAGGAGGAUCCUAUUCCACAAGCUCCAAAUAAUCAUCCCGCCCACCUAUUCUUGAAGAUUAUAUGUAUGUGAUGCGAUGUGAUGGAAAACUAGGCUCAGGAUGCUUCUUCUCAACUAUACAUUGACCCUCUUUACUUUUCUCAAUGAUUCACGGAGGCAGCCAACCAACACCGCUAGAGACCUCGUAGAGGAAAUGCUUAACAGAGGUUUGGGAUUGAAGAGAAUAUGAGAGCCGAUAUCCAUUAGUAGAGGGGCAAGGCAGCUGAGAGAAAAAAACAAUUGCAGGCUGACUUUAACAUGGUCAGAGGUGAGGAUCAUGAGAAUUUGGCGCUUGGCCCACCAGAGGAUUUCAUGUAAUCUAGGCACAUUGUCUAUCUUUUAUUUUCUUUCCUAUUUUCAGUAAUUUAUUUUGAUUUUGAGUUAAAACUAGGUGUUGCAAGUGUUUAUUUGGAUUUCAGUUGUAUUCUCCUAUCUUCUGUUCUGCAAUGUUCUUAUUUAUUAUUAAUGAAUUUUCUUGUUUUUCAAAUUUACCAGUUUAGUAAAAAUCAUUUCACCAUUAGUACUUCUAAAGUUCAUAAGGAGGAAGAUCCUUGCAUUGAUAUUCAGCGUUUGGAAUGAUUAGGUGGCUACAACUUCUGGAAAAUCUUAGCUUGUGAAGUUUGAGCCAAAAAAAAAUUCAAUUCGUUUCUACUUAUACAAUUGUUCCAUGCAACUGUCAUUUUUAGAACCUUUGUCCUUGCAGCCUUUGUUAGGUUAGAUCAUUUUGGCCGGUGACAAACUGCAUAACAAGCCUAGAGACCUUAGGAGAUUUUGACCCAAUUUCGUGUUGGAGUUAGGCAAUGUUAUUUUUUUUUUCUAUGCUUAAUUUCAAGUUUAGGGUUGCAGUUAGAACUAGCAAUGUUUAAGUUUGGGGUACGGGUAGCAGAGAACCCAAGAGAUCACAAAAUGUUUUUCAAUUUUUUUUAAAUAAGCUACACAAAAAUGUGAAAUAAGGUACAUCAUGACAUCAUUUGGAGAAGCACCAAACCUGAAAUUUGAAAGUUAACGAGAAUUCGUGGCAUAAUUAAAUAACUUGAAUAUGGGAAGCAAGAAUUGGUAGAGCAGUGGCUUUCUAGAGAUGUUGCAAGGAUCCCUUAAUACUACUACUAGAUGUGCAACAGUAAUUGAGAGAAAGGUUGUAAAUUGAUAACGUAAGGCAUAUAAAUUGUGGUAACAUGAAAUUGAUUUUUGAUGCAAAUUAUUUAAUUUUUGUUUUGAUAGAGAUUUGAAAAGCUUUUCUGGCACCGUGGACCAUCUUGGAGAUAUUGGUGCAGGGUAGAAUCCUCCAUUAUACAUAUAAUGAAGAAAUUAAAUAAAUAUUGCAUAAUCUAUUACAACUGCAAUGUUGGAGCAAAAAUAACUAGCAGAAAAAGAAGACUACACAUAUAAAAAUUCAAUUCAUAUAGGACACAGAAUUCUACUUUUUGGUGUUCAGAUUAAACCUCACUGAAAUAUCAAAAUGUAAUUCAAAGCACACUCUUUCAAACAACCUUUAUUGCUUUUACAUAGAAAGGAAACUCUUACAGAAUGCAAUUACAAGAACAGAAGGAAACUAAGACAAAUAUUGGACUAAUAUGUUUAUUGCUUUGGACUCACAUGACCCUUUUAAGCUAUAACAUAAAAACAACUCACUAAUGUCUCUUAAAAAUCUUAUUAAGAAAUAAUGUAAAUGAAACGCCAAGGUAAUCUCUACACCAUUCAAAUACCUGCGGAAAGUAAGUGUUUCCCAAUGCAACUCCAGCAACAAGUCCACCGCCAUAUCCAAUCAGAACAACUGUCCAGUAUAAUUCAAAGAAUGAUUCUGAGUCGUCAUCAUCAUCAUCAUCAAAAGUCGAAGGCCCUGCAUGAUCUAUACACUUCUUCACCAAUUGAUCCCCACACAGACCUUGGUUACCCUCAAAUGAAUCAUCUUUGAAUGUGGAAAACUGAUUAUUUUGUGGUAUAGGACCUGUGAGAUUGUUAAAGGACACAUUUAAGUACUCCAAAAAGGUGAUUUCUGCCAACUGUUUGGGAAUUUUUCCUGAAAGACUGUUGAGAGAAAGAUCUAGUGCUUCAAGUUUUGAAAGCUUCCCUAAGGAAGAUGGUAUGCUUCCAAUAAGCAUAUUAUUCGACAAGUUGAGCAAAACAAGACCCUUUAACUCGCCUAUCACUUGUGGUAUCUCUCCACUGAUUUUGUUGCUUGAAAUAUCAAUGGCUAUUAAGCUGUAGAAAUUCUGAAGGUUCUCAUAAACCCUUGAAAACCCUUUGUUUGACAAUGUGAAUGUAUAAAACGUACUUUGUGUUGUACGAAUUUGUCCUGCACUGUUCGAUGUCGAGUAAGAUUCAUACUGUAAUUGACUUGUGUUGGUAGUUUUCAUUGUUUUCCAUCCUUGGAUCAUUUCUGAUGGAAAACUUCCAGAGAAUUCAUUGUGAGAAAGGUCAAUGAUGUGAAGUUUGGGAAAUGUGCAUGUCAUGUUGUCAGAGCACCUAAUGUCUCCAUGAAAUUCAUUGUUACUUAAAGACAAUACCUUCAACUCGGGUAAAUCUUUCAUCCAUAAUGGAAAUGAAUCAUUGAUAUUGUUAUAACUAACAUCAAAGAACUCUAGGCUUCUGCUAUUUACCAAUGCCCUUGGCAACUGACCCUGCAGAAUGUUGUUGCUAAAAUCAAUCCGCUGAAGGGAAUUUCCUAUCAUGUAUGUUUGAGGAAUGGGGCCAGACAAUUUGUUCCCUUUUAGAGCUAGUGUUUGUAAAGAUUGGCUAAAGUUUCCAAGACAUGAAGGAACAUUGCCGCUUAAGUUGUUGAACGCUAAAUCAAGAUAUGUGAGUGAUUUGAGAUUGCAUAUUAAUGGGGUUAUUUCUCCUGUCAAUGAAUUUUGGUUAACAACUAAGCCUUGUAGACUUUCUUUUUCCCAUAACCAAUUGGGUAGCGAUGUUAUAUUGUUUAAUGCCAACGCAAGAUAUUCCAGCUCACCGAGAUCUCUUAUAAAUGUUGGAAUCUCAACUAAAUUGCAUGAAUCCAAUUCUAAGCUUUGAAUUCGAGAAUCGGUCAUAUGGGAAGACCUUUUUCCACUGUACAAUGACAGUUUGUUGAAUGAUAAAUUAAGAACAGCUAGCUUUUUGAGUUUCAGAAACGUGUCAAGCUCUAGCUUUCCAUGCAAAGAAUUAAAGGGUAGGUCCAAGACAACUAAAUUUGUUAGGUUCAUAAUCCAAGAUGGUAUUUCACCCUUUAUAUUGCUAUUUUCUGCACUUAAAAGUACUAGCUGAGUGAGAUUUGCAAAAGAUAAUGGGAUCUCACUGCCAAUAUUGACUGAGGAUAUCUCCAAGGAAAUUAAUGAUGAAAGCUUACCUACCCAUGAGAAUGUCUCAAUAGUAAAUUCAUUGUGACUAAUAUCCAAUAAUCUUAGUUGGGUAAGAUUUGCCAAGGAUGCAGAAGGGUUGCCCCUAAAUUUGUUUUUUGAAAGGUCUAUAUCCAUGAGUUGUGUGAGGUUGCCAAGCGAAGAAGGAAUAUAUCCAAAAAAAUGGCAAUCUGAAAUUGAUAGAAGAAUUAAAGAACUAAGCUUCCCAAUGGAUACUGGCAGUGUACCAUAGAAACCUGUUUGAUCAAGUCCUAACCUGGUGAGUGAACUAGACUGAAACUCAGGCAAACUUCCAUUGAGAUUUGGAUUAUAUCUCAAAUCCAGAAGUUCCAAGUUUGGAAGAUGAAAUACUCCAACCGGAAACGCUCCAUACAAUUCAGAAUUGUAUAGAGAUAGUGCUUUCAACGAAGUUAGAUUUGUGAGUGUCUCUGGUAAAGUAGAUGAAAUUGUCACAAAACUAAGAAAAAGGAUCUCAAUUUUUGUUGAGUUUUGAAUUAUGCUUCUGAGACUAGACAAUUUGAGUUGCAACAAAUUGGAUGUACUACCUUUAGGAUGUACUAUAGCUCUGUAGCCUAGAUCAAGAGACAACAACUUUGACAACUGUGAAACAUGUGGUGGAAUUUCUCCAGAAAAUAAGCUAAGGGAAAGGUUCAGAUGUUUUAAUUGUGAAAGCUGACCUAUCUUGGACGGGAUUGGAGAGUAAUUGAAGUCAUUGUCAGAAAGAUCAAGAACUCGAAGGUGUACAAGGCGAAAGAGACUGCUAUUUGCAUCCAUUUUACCAUAGAGUUGGCUGCUACUAAGAUCAAUGUGAAUCACUUGAUUUGUGUGCUCAUGACAUUUAAUGCCAUCCC
rnacentral:lncRNA from 1 species